ACAUGACCGACGCUGGUCAAAGUGUAGUAUCUGUUCUUAUCAGCUUAAUAUCUCAUACGGUUUGUAUUUGGAUUUAGGAUAUCAAACUUACUUUUGCAAGUUGGCGGAGCGCUUAAAAUCCUGCUUCAACUCCACCGCGGGUUGACCCGGUAAUGCGCUUUCUUCGGGAUCGGUCCCCGGUUU